UCUGAGCGUCGUUUCCUUCUUGGAGCGGUGCUUCAGACCUGGCGGGCUGUCUCUCGGGACGGCGCGCCCAAAGCGAGGGGCCUUCUGCGCGAACUAGACUGUGCGCGCGGGGCGGCCGGCGAACUUAUUACCAAGCUCGACCUCAGAUCAGGCAGGAGUACCCGCUGAACUUAAGCAUAUCAAUAAGCGGAGGAAAAGAAACCAACAGGGAUUGCCCCAGUAGCGGCGAGUGAAGCGGCAAAAGCUCAGAUUUGGAAUCGCUUCGGCGAGUUGUGAAUUGCAGGUUGGCGCCUCUGCGGCGGCGGCGGUCCAAGUCCCUUGGAACAGGGCGCCAUUGAGGGUGAGAGCCCCGUGGGACCGUUUGCCUACGCUCUGAGGCCCUUCUGACGAGUCGAGUUGUUUGGGAAUGCAGCUCUAAGCGGGUGGUAAAUUCCAUCUAAGGCUAAAUACUGGCGAGAGACCGAUAGCGAACAAGUACUGUGAAGGAAAGAUGAAAAGCACUUUGAAAAGAGAGUGAAACAGCACGUGAAAUUGUUGAAAGGGAAGGGUAUUGCGCCCGACAUGGAGCGUGCGCACCGCUGCCCCUCGUGGGCGGCGCUCUGGGCGUGCUCUGGGCCAGCAUCGGUUUUUGCCGCGGGAGAAGGGCGGCG
rnacentral:rRNA from 1 species